AGUGAACGCUGGCGGUAGGCCUAACACAUGCAAGUCGAACGGCAGCACAGUAAUAGCUUGCUCUUACGGGUGGCGAGUGGCGUACGGGUGAGGAAUGCAUCGUAAUCUACUUUUUCGUGGGGGAUAACGUAGGGAAACUUACGCUAAUACCGCAUACGACCUACGGGUGAAAGCAGGGGAUCUUCGGACCUUGCGCGAUUGAAUGAGCCGAUGUCGGAUUAGCUAGUUGGCGGGGUAAAGGCCCACCAAGGCGACGAUACGUAGCUGGUCUGAGAGGAUGAUCAGCCACACUGGAACUGAGACACGGUCAAGACUCCUACGGGAGGCAGCAGUGGGGAAUAUUGGACAAUGGGCGCAAGCAUGAUCCAGCCAUACCGCGUGGGUGAAGAAGGCCUUCGGGUUGUAAAGCCCUUUUGUUGGGAAAGAAAAGCAGCAGGUUAAUACCCCGCUGUUCUGACGGUACCCAAAGAAUAAGCACCGGCUAACUUCGUA
rnacentral:rRNA from 1 species